rnacentral:rRNA from 1 species
GACGAACGCUGGCGGCGUGCCUAAUACAUGCAAGUAGAACGCUGAAGAGAGGAGCUUGCUCUUCUUGGAUGAGUUGCGAACGGGUGAGUAACGCGUAGGUAACCUGCCUUGUAGCGGGGGAUAACUAUUGGAAACGAUAGCUAAUACCGCAUAACAAUGGAUGACACAUGUCAUUUAUUUGAAAGGGGCAAUUGCUCCACUACAAGAUGGACCUGCGUUGUAUUAGCUAGUAGGUGAGGUAAUGGCUCACCUAGGCGACGAUACAUAGCCGACCUGAGAGGGUGAUCGGCCACACUGGGACUGAGACACGGCCCAGACUCCUACGGGAGGAAGCAGUAGGGAAUCUUCGGCAAUGGGGGCAACCCUGACCGAGCAACGCCGCGUGAGUGAAGAAGGUUUUCGGAUCGUAAAGCUCUGUUGUAAGUCAAGAACGGGUGUGAGAGUGGAAAGUUCACACUGUGACGGUAGCUUACCAGAAAGGGACGGCUAACUACGUG